rnacentral:rRNA from 1 species
UACGGAGGGUGCAAGCGUUGUUCGGAAUCACUGGGCGUAAAGCGCGUGUAGGUGGUCUUUUAAGUCUGGUGUGAAAGCCCGGGGCUUACCCCCGGAAGGGCACUGGAGACUGGGAGACUAGAGUACCGGAGAGGAAGGUGGAAUUCCUGGUGUAGCGGUGAAAUGCGUAGAUAUCAGGAGGAACACCGGUGGCGAAGGCGGGUCUCUGGGCCGUAACUGACGCUGAGGAGCGAAAGCAUGGGGAGCGAACAGG